GUCCACGCCCUAAACGAUGAUGACUAGUUGUUGGGGGAGUUAAAUCCCUUAGUAACGCAGCUAACGCGCGAAGUCAUCCGCCUGGGGAGUACGGUCGCAAGAUUAAAACUCAAAGGAAUUGACGGGGGCCCGCACAAGCGGUGGAUGAUGUGGUUUAAUUCGAUGCAACGCGAAAACCUUACCUACCCUUGACAUGUGCGGAACCCUGCAGAAAUGCAGGGGGUGCCCGAAAGGGAACCGCAACACAGGUGCUGCAUGGCUGUCGU
rnacentral:rRNA from 1 species